UAAGACUUAGGGCCACAGCUGAUGCUUCCCCCAGCCAUCUCAGUCAAAAACCACAUCGACAGAGGGGGACUUCUGGACAGACUCCAAACAGGAGGGUCUCAUAUGAUCUGAAUGAUUUUACAUUCUUUUAAGCAUACGGUUAGAAAAUGCUGAUGCCCAGAACCCAGCCCAAACCAGAAUCCUAAGGAUGAGGCCUUUUCAUCCGUAUACUGGAAAGUCCCUGAGUGAUUCUUACAUUUAACCCAAGGUUCAGGUUCCCAGGAUGAUCUUGAGUCACCAUCCCAGAUGUACUACUGGACUAGAACUUGCAAUAUACUUUAGAGAGGAAAACAUAAAGGGGCCCAGGGUAGGCCACUCCAAGAUGAGCCACUUUGGCAUGAACAGUAUUUUGAGGUAAAAGCUUUCCACACCCAGCAGAUUCAGAAAGCGCUCUUUACCUCCCCUUCAACUGCCUGCCCAUAUCAGGAAGAGAGCUAUGACAGAGACUCCUCUUUAUCUAGAAGACUUAUCUACGUAAUAGGACAACCUUUGUUUUCCAAACAUUUCUUCUCACCUUCCCGCUAAGGUCCAUCUCCCUUUGUAUCCUCAGACCCCUACCUUUUUCCCUUGCUCAUAUAAGCUUUCUGGUGCCUGGCUGUCCUUGCAAUUUCCACGUCUGUGUGGAUUCUCUGUACAUAUGCUAUUAAAUUUGGUUUUCUCCUGUUAA